rnacentral:misc_RNA from 1 species
UUUGAUCAAUGCAUUUCCGCCGUAUGGAGACUGUCUCAUUGAUUCGCUUAUUAGUCAUCAUUUCCAUUGAGCAAAGACGCCUAAGCGUACGCCAGUACGGGCCAAACUGGCCGACUGCAAGUGACCCAUCUAUGUAGUUAUGACUCGUAUAUACGUCAUGACACUUACGGUCACAGAAGCUGGCGUCGUGAUUCUUGAACAGCUCUGCC